rnacentral:rRNA from 1 species
CCUACGGGGGGCAGCAGUGGGGAAUAUUGGGCAAUGGAGGAAACUCUGACCCAGCGACGCCGCGUGCGGGAUGAAGGCCUUCGGGUUGUAAACCGCUUUCAGUAGGGAAGAAGCGAAAGUGACGGUACCUACAGAAGAAGCACCGGCUAACUAUGUGCCAGCAGCCGCGGUAAUACAUAGGGUGCAAGCGUUGUCCGGAAUUAUUGGGCGUAAAGAGCUCGUAGGUGGUUCGUUACGUCGGAUGUGAAAAUCUGGGGCUCAACCCCAGACCUGCAUCCGA